rnacentral:rRNA from 1 species
UACAGAGGGGGCAAGCGUUAUUCGGAAUUAUUGGGCGUAAAGGGCGCGUAGGCGGCCUUGCAAGUGGCGGGUGAAAUCCCUCGGCUUAACCGAGGAACUGCCUGCCAGACUGCAAGGCUCGAGACCGGGAGAGGUGAGUGGAAUUCCCAGUGUAGCGGUGAAAUGCGCAGAUAUCAGGAGGAACACCAAUUGCGAAGGCAGCUCGCUGGGACGUUACUGACGCUGAGACGCGAAAGCGUGGGGAGCAAACAGG